rnacentral:rRNA from 1 species
CCACACGACUCUCGGCAACGGAUAUCUCGGCUCUCGCAUCGAUGAAGAACGUAGCGAAAUGCGAUACCUGGUGUGAAUUGCAGAAUCCCGCGAACCAUCGAGUCUUUGAACGCAAGUUGCGCCCGAGGCCACCCGGCUGAGGGCACGCCUGCCUGGGCGUCACGCC